AUUGAACGCUGGCGGCAGGCUUAACACAUGCAAGUCGAGCGGGGGAAGGUAGCUUGCUACCGGACCUAGCGGCGGACGGGUGAGUAAUGCUUAGGAAUCUGCCUAUUAGUGGGGGACAACAUCUCGAAAGGGAUGCUAAUACCGCAUACGUCCUACGGGAGAAAGCAGGGGAUCUUCGGACCUUGCGCUAAUAGAUGAGCCUAAGUCGGAUUAGCUAGUUGGUGGGGUAAAGGCCUACCAAGGCGACGAUCUGUAGCGGGUCUGAGAGGAUGAUCCGCCACACUGGGACUGAGACACGGCCCAGACUCCUACGGGAGGCAGCAGUGGGGAAUAUUGGACAAUGGGGGGAACCCUGAUCCAGCCAUGCCGCGUGUGUGAAGAAGGCCUUAUGGUUGUAAAGCACUUUAAGCGAGGAGGAGGCUACUUUAGUUAAUACCUAGAGAUAGUGGACGUUACUCGCAGAAUAAGCACCGGCUAACUCUGUGCCAGCAGCCGCGGUAAUACAGAGGGUGCGAGCGUUAAUCGGAUUUACUGGGCGUAAAGCGUGCGUAGGCGGCUUAUUAAGUCGGAUGUGAAAUCCCCGAGCUUAACUUGG
rnacentral:rRNA from 1 species